GUUCAGUGCCAGAUACCUCUGAACCAACCAAUAGUGGGUACUGCUUUUCUUUUUCUUUUUCUUUUUCUUUUUGUAGCAACUUUUUACAAUUCUUUGGUUUAAAUGACUUUAUGAGGGUCACCUAUACCGGAGUUUCCUUUUUGCUUUCUUUUACUUUUUUGUUUUUCUGGAUCAUUCACUUAUUUGCAUCGGUCCCCUACGUAGAGGAUGCGUAGGCCGGAGCUGACUGCUAGAUAAACUACUGAGGACUUAUACGGAAAUGAUGAUUAAGGCCAUGGUAUAU
rnacentral:lncRNA from 1 species